rnacentral:rRNA from 1 species
UACGGAGGGUGCAAGCGUUAUCCGGAUUCACUGGGUUUAAAGGGUGCGUAGGAGGGCAGGUAAGUCAGUGGUGAAAUCCCCGAGCUUAACUUGGGAACUGCCGUUGAUACUAUCUGUCUUGAAUACCGUGGAGGUGAGCGGAAUAUGUCAUGUAGCGGUGAAACGCUUAGAUAUGACAUAGAACACCAAUUGCGAAGGCAGCUUACUACCCGAAUAUUGACACUGAGGCACGAAAGCGUGGGGAUCAAACAGG